CCGCCUCCUGCCCCUUCCAACUGCUAGAGAACACCACAACCUUCUUCUACUUUUUAAAAAUCAUUUGUAAUUCUUCACCAGAAGUUGAACCAUUACUACCGUUCUUAUUAGAACCAUCAGUAGGAUCCAAAUGAUGAAAUAGAUUGUAGAAGUUGGUGAUUAUAUUUUAGAAAAUUGUGGUUAUAGCUGAUAAAGGAAUUCAGUAGCUUUCUACAACUUUCAGUUUCAAUGUUCUUAAGGGCAAGUGUAAACCCAGCUUAAAUUGAGAAAGUAUAUAAAGGGCAGCAACACAAAGGCUCUCAAAUUAAUCUGUGUUACUCUGGCUUAUUCACCAAUAUCUCGUAUUCUGAGUGCCAUGGAAGAGACAGUAGCAAUCCUUCAGAGACACUCCCUUCAAGAGGGUACGAUGAUGUAAAAACUCCACAUUGAUAGAUUGUCAAAUUUUAAAUGAUUUUCUUCUUUUUAGACUACCGGUGCAACAUUAUUUAUUUGAGUAGGAAUAUGAAGGGGCUCUUUCAGAAUCUAGGUGAGAACUUCAAUGUUGCGUUUCCUACUGAGAGUCUUGAUGGGAGCGCACGCUCUUAACAUGGAAAAUGCCUUGAAGAUACAAUAAAGGGGGCAUGUUCAUCGCCAGCAUAUACCUCCAAUAGGCAUCAAGUUACUUCUUGAAGAAAAACAAACAAGGGUUCAGUAAGUGCAAAACAUCAGCUUCUGUUUAGUGCUACAAAUAUUUUUGUAUAGAUCUUAAUUGCAUAUCCAGAACUUUGAGUUUACUGUGCGAAGGGACUAAUACUUCUCCAUUUUCUUUGUUUUUUCUGUGGUGUGCUUUACUUGAAUGCUUCUCCUGCAACUUGGCUAUACUGCGUUCUGCCGUGAGGUUUUUUAAUCACAUUGGAUGCUGUGUUCUUUUAGAUGCUGCACUGUUUAUAUAUAUUAUAUAUGGAUUUAAAAUUCCAUUUUUGUUAGAUGGUGUACUGAAACAAGAUAAAUUUGUAUUACAGUAGUUGUUGAGGUUUUUCUUACCUAUUCUAAAAUUAAAAUGGUUUUUACUUAUACUUUUAUUUCUUCUGGAUGUUAUGUGUUGAAGACCAUGAAGAAACUAUGUAUCUGACACUGGUCCGUUUAGUUGCUCAGCUUAUUGCUGCUGGUGGCUUCACUUGCGGCUGGUUUUGAUGUGUCCCUUACUCAUCUGAGUGUCUUCCUUUAUAUAUUUGCCGAUUUCGAUUUUCAAAACUGAAAUUUCAUGUUUUCUACCAUAGUGGAUCUAAGAUUACUACAAUAUGCUAAGUAUCUAUCUCUUUGGUUGUCCUGUCUAGUUGUUAAUAAAGUAAUAGAGGAUGAAGGUGAUGAAUAUAGCACGUACUUAGGGCAGGUUGUCCUGUCUAGUUGUUUCUCCUGGUGCAGCUUAAAUAUAGCUGUGUCGAGCUUCUGGAUAGGUUUUCUGAUUUGCAUAGUGUGCCAUGUGUUUUAAAUUCUUGCAUUCCCUUUUAUGGGUAAAACAUAGUUCCUGCAGUAGUUUUCAUCUGCUGGACUUUUAGCAGUGGGUAGGCAUAUAAAGUUUGCAUGUAUUUUACACAAUGCUAAGUAUCUAAUCUCUUUGAUUCUGUAGUUCUUAAUAAAGUAAUAGAGUGAUGAAGGUGAUGAAUUAAGCAGGUACUUAAGACAGGUUUUCCUGUCUAGUUGUUUCUCCUGGUGCAGCUUAAAUGUAGCUGUGCUGAGCUUCUAGAUGGGUCUGUAUGACUUUUCAACAAACCGCUUUCUGAUUCUCUCUCUAUACUUGUUUAGAUUCACCACUUUCUUCUAUGUAGUUAGUUUGCCAUGUGUUUUAACUCUUGCAGUCCCUUUUGUUUCAUGGGUAAAACAUAGUUCUAGCAGUAGUUUUCAUCUGCUGGACUUUUAGCAGUGCCCAGGCGUAUAAAAUUUGCACGUAUUAUUGUUUUUGCAAUAUUAAAGACCCAUCUAGAAUCUUGAUCUUUUGUUAAUCAGGCAUGUUAAUUUCUGCCAAUGAAUCUUGAUCUUUUGUUAAUUUCCGUUGUGGUUUUGUGCUGGAUAUAUCUAUAUUGUGCUCAUGACAAAAAUCACCUCAUGACAAAAAAAAUUGGUGAUUGCUGCUCUCCGGGAGUCAUCUAUGCUUGUUGUAAGUUCCGAUGGGAAGAUGUAAAAUGAGCUCGUCCUUUGGCUGUUAUAGAUGUCAAGCAGGCACAUGUAAUUUUUAUUUGAAUCCAGCCAGAACCACUUCUUCUGCAAUUUGGUGGAGCAGGUCAAUAUAUCUCUGGCCAUUCUAGAAAUUUCGGCUGGCUGAGUGAAUCUAGUGUUCUUUCCUUCAGUUUAUUGUUCCACAGCACCGUUUUUGAUUCAUCUUAGGCAACCAGCCAAGCAACAUCAAUGUGGAAGAGCUACUCGAAGACAUAGAGAAGAUUACCCUUGCAAGCCAUUUGGUUUGGGGCUUGGGGCUUAUAUGGGGAAUAAUCAAUGACAGAUUUUUUUUUUUUUUUUUGGAAUAACUGUAAGACUGGUUGGGAAGUGUCUAGUAUGUAGGUUCGUUUAGACAAUAGGCCAAUGGAGGGGUUAACUGAGGCUAUAGUCCUUCCUUCAAUUUGGCCAGAUUUUUUAUUUUCCUUUUAGUAUAACUAGAUUUGUGCCUGUGAACUCUAGCUUAUAAAAGAAAAACGAAUAACCUCUUCGUUUA